AUAAUUGAGAGUUUGAUCCUGGCUCAGGAUAAACGCUGGCGGCGUGCAUAACACAUGCAAGUCGAACGAUGAAACUUAGCUGAUUUCUUCGGAAUGAAA
rnacentral:rRNA from 1 species